UGGUUCUGCACGCAGCAGCAAAUUUCUGUGAUAUUGUGCCCCUUUCCUGCAAGUUCUCUGACUGUUUUGCUGUUAGAUUCAGAUGCAUCGUAUGUUCAGGUUGUAUUAAUUCCUAAACAUCUCCCUUUCUAUAACAUGGUGAGACUCUAUGAGGGAUCAACAGCAUUUUCUAUCUACUGGGGGAUAUAUUUGGAAAAGAGCUAAAUGAUGUAGUAGGUAAUUCAAGGGCAGUGAACCUAUAGCAAGAAGAGCUUUCAUCCUCACCAGGAUUCAGUGAGAUUUACAGCUAUCUAUUUCCAAAUCGGACAUCAGUUAGUUUUUUUCCAUGACACAUGGAUGUUGUGUUGGUGCUCAUGUUAGUUUUUUGUCUGGUUAGCAUCAUACAUAUCUCCAGAGGUUGAUUUAAAGUGUUUAAAUCAAUCUUCUGCUAAGAAUCACUGAAGCUUGGAGCUACAAGAACAAGUGGCAAACUGCACGGAAGCAGAAAUGUUCUUGAGAGAUUGUCAACAGCCCAGAGAACUGAACCCAUAUCUAACACACAGAAGCCAAUGAGUUCCUGUGCAUACGAAGAGCAGUCAAGAGGCAGUAUAAAAAUAAACAAGCAGUCCUUCACCUCACCUCCACCUCAGAUUUUUGAAACCAGACUGCUACUACAAUAGGCAUAUUCUAACCUUGCCUCCUGGGAAAAAAAUAAAAUGACACACUCUGAAAUUUUCACCUGCUUCUUUUCCAUGUAACCUGAUAUUUUCACCCAUCCUUCUUGACAAAUUUCUGCCUGUUGUUGACAAUUGGGAUAAUACCAGACUGACAAUUUUCUGACCACAACAUUUGACAAGACAGGAAACUCAUCAGAGUUAAGUCUUUUUUUCUCCUGGAUGUUUUUACUGUGAGGUCAAAGUAAUGAUGUUAGGGAUGUUAUCCACUUAAAGGUUUAUACGAACAAAAGCUUAUAAAUGAAGGUCAUUGUGCUUUUCUUUCCCACACUAAUGGCAAGCAAUAAUUAAGUCAGGUUGGGGUUUCUUUCUCCUCUUUAAGAAUUCAAGAGUUUUUUCUUUAUUUACUUCACAGUUUUGCCUAUGUUUUCCUUUUUUGAUGUAAGGCCCUUUUUAUCUAUUAAGAACAUUUUAAUGAUUCCACACAGGACAAAUCUGCAUUUUUCAAAGGCAGUUGAAUAACAAUAUCAUUUAGCUUGAGUACUACUGCAUCACACAAAAUGCAGCUGGGAAAUAGAGAUAACAUAAACAGCAAUCUGUCAAAUGCACAAGGCUUUGAGUAUCAGCUAGUCUUAGGAAUUGUGAAAGGUAGGCAGAAAUACAAUACGGAUUAGGAAAAAUGAUGAAAACUCAAGAACUGCCAGAAAAUUUCCUCUUCUUUUUACAUCAUAAAAAUAAAACUAUGCAAAAUUGGCCUUCAAUCCCACAGAUUAUUAUUUACUUUCUAUGUUCAAACUUUGAAAUGAACUUUCUCACUGUGAGCUUACUUCAUUAUGUUGUCAGUUCAGUAAUUGUGCAUUUCAUGUUUUAAUUGACCCAAAUUAUAUUUCACGUAUCACAACUUUAAAGCAUUUUAUGGGUGCUGUUCUUUUUCAUUAGAUCCUUGGCACUGUUACAAACAGUAAGGAAAAAAAAAGUAUAAAACGUAUUUAAGGUUGAUAAUUUACUAUAACGUUCUAUCAUUUAAGUGCUGAAGUAGUUAAAAGGAAGGAUAUGUAUAGUCAAAGACCUCAUACAUUUUAUGUUGCCUUCAUAAUAAACACAAAUACAUUUUAGUUCUGACUCAUCAUUGGUCACAAACAAAACAUGAACAGAUGAAGCUACACUUCAGAUAAUAUAAAUUGACAUAGCUGCUUAAAUGCUGGUUGAGCAACAAUGAUUUGUACCAUCUGUGCUUACAGCCCAUUACAAGCUGAUUUCAAUACCAGUACUCCAGCCUGCAGACAAGAGACUAUCAGGGAGUAAGAGUUAAAGAAACAAGGUUACUUAAAGGGUGAAAGCCCUUAGAAUGUCAUGGAGCCAACAGUGCACAGCAAGCUACGCUACAGCAGAAGGACCUGAAGUCCUAACUUCUUAACUAUGCUGUAUCACACACAGCUUUACUUUUGGGCAAAUGAAAACAGUCAUCUGAAGCACCUCUGGCCAAGGAGGAAGGUGGAACCAGAGACCCUUCAGCCAGUGGGAUUGUGCUUUGUGCAGCACCAGAGCCACAAUGGCACAGUCCGCUUGACCGUGGGGCAGAGCUCUCUGAGGGCAGUCUUGGCUUGUGCCCAUCUCUUUCACAGGCUCGGGCUCAGAGACGGGACUCAGGACUGCCACAGGGCCAGGGACGUUGGGGCACGAAUCCAUCCCUUCCCUCCCCGCCUCGGCGAUGGAGCGGAGACCGCUGCUGCCCGGUCCGCAGGGCACGCGACUGUAUACAGAGAGGGACGGAACGGUACGACGCGGAUA